rnacentral:rRNA from 1 species
GAGUGAACGCUGGCGGUAGGCCUAACACAUGCAAGUCGAACGGCAGCACAGUAAGAGCUUGCUCUUACGGGUGGCGAGUGGCGGACGGGUGAGGAAUACAUCGGAAUCUACUUUUUCGUGGGGGAUAACGUAGGGAAACUUACGCUAAUACCGCAUACGACCUACGGGUGAAAGCAGGGGAUCUUCGGACCUUGCGCGAUUGAAUGAGCCGAUGUCGGAUUAGCUAGUUGGCGGGGUAAAGGCCCACCAAGGCGACGAUCCGUAGCUGGUCUGAGAGGAUGAUCAGCCACACUGGAACUGAGACACGGUCCAGACUCCUACGGGAGGCAGCAGUGGGGAAUAUUGGACAAUGGGCGCAAGCCUGAUCCAGCCAUACCGCGUGGGUGAAGAAGGCCUGCGGGUUGUAAAGCCCUUUUGUUGGGAAAGAAAAGCAGCAGGUUAAUACCCCGCUGUUCUGACGGGACCCAAAGAAUAGCACCGGCUAACUUCGUG